CGAAAAUGAAAAAAUGUGGAGACGCGGCCACUCCUCUCCCCCGAUGCGCCGCCGCCCCCCGUCCCCCCUGCUCCGCCUCCGCUCCCAGCCUCUCCCCCUCGGCGUUCGCGCCUCCGGAUCGAAGCCCACGACGGCGGCGUUCCCAGAUCGGCAAAGCGCCACCCCAUCGGAUCGUCGUCACUGCUGACGGCCGCCUCCUCGUCAAGGAAGCGCGGCUUCCAGCCGGCGGCGACCAAGGCAAGGGAGGCCCGCGAAGAAGUUGCUCCUGCUCCCGCGGCCGACGGCGGCCGUGACGAAGCUGCUCCUGCUCCAGAGGGGCGCCUCUGCCCCCGCGUGUUCCACCGGGAGAGGAGGAGAGGAUCCUCCGCGUGAUCUUCUUCUUCUCGGCCGACGAUGCAUCCUCCUCCUCCGCCGCGUCAUGGGCGCUCACCACGGAAGGGGAGGUGCCGCUGGAGCUCAAUCUGGCAUUCAACGCCGCGGACGGCCGGCCACAUCCCCUCCCCUGUGGGUUUCGCCUGGGCGGGCGUCUCCUACUCUUCCCGGACCUCACGGUCCAGGCCAUCACAAGUCUGCCCUACAUGAUGCCUGGCAGGCUAACCUAGCAGGAUGCAUGUGCAACAGACUGAAACAAGCAGCCUACACUGUCCUCAAAUCCCCUGUUUCUUCUUUCACAGCUCUGCUCUCCAACAGCUUGCACGGCUCCAUCACCGCCGAGAUCAUCAACUGCAACAAGCCGACAGCAAUUUAUGCGUGCCACCAGUAUGCCAUCUACUUCUUUUUAUGCUACUUCAUUGGGCUUGUUUUGUUUGCUUGGUUGUAGGUUGAUGAAUAAGGCUGCUGAAAAAUAAAAUUCGGGUGUUUUGGUUGUGCAUCUGUUCAGUUAUCUGAGCCAACUCUACCUGCUGAGAUUAUUAUUGGUGUGGGCAACCACCAGUACGUGUAUGAGCAGCUUAAGGUUAUCUUAUGCAUGAUUGUGUGCUGUCCAUCAUGAUGGCUGGACUCGUUCAUGAAUGUCCAUCUUUUCCACCGCAGGGGAGAUGCACAUUUUGAAACCAUGACUCCCCUUUUUCUCUUCUUGUGUACCACUCGGUGAAGUGGCCUGCACUCCUGUUCCUAAGAGUUGUUGAAAUUUUGUAUUUGGUUGCCAUGCAAACCGAACUGGCCCGUACUCCUGUUCACCGGUCUUUUGUUUAGCAUGGAUUGUAUGCCCUGUUUCCAGUACUUAUGGUAGUUCUAGGGCAUUGUUUGAUACUUGCUAGCAUGAUUGACUUUUCCGUUGAGUAGCUAACCACUACCUGGUUGUUUGAACCAAUGGUUGGUUAGAUCCUGUAGGCUGAGUCUAUGGUCUGUUUAGGUUGCUAUUGUGGUCUGGUUGUUCUCUAAUAAGAACAUAUAUUUUUCUUGCUUGUGCAUUCAACUGAAGCUAUUGCUUAUGUGUGUACUGUUUCUCUGCCUCGGCCUCCCGUGGAUGAGCUGAUGAUGAGAAUUGCAGGCACGGAGGGGUUGUACACGGAGCUGCAGGGGAAGAUGAUGGGCAAUAAGGCCACAGAGUAAGCGCUCAUCUUUGUCGAGGAGUGCGGACUCACCAGCCUUCUCACGCCGGAUCAGUUCCUCAACGAGCGGGAGAGUAUGCUCCAGGGGAUCUCUUCCUCCUGCGCGCCUGAUGCUUGGCAAGAUUGAUGUUGUUGGUGGCACAAGUGGCAAGGCGCUGAAGAGAGAAGGAAGUGCAUGCUGAAGGACGUGCUUUGUGUUGCGAAGUGCUAAUUGAUGGAUGGAUAUGGCUGGUGAUAGAUAUGUGUUGUGUACUUAGUAGAUAAAACGGCUUGGUUUUAUUUGUCAUGAACCUCAAGUGUUGGAAAUCGAUGUAGAUGCAUUUCCCAGCUCUUGUUUAUGUUGGGCUGGGCAAUGAGAUGAGCAAGGGCGAUACUAGAAACAUGCAUGCCACCGUAAAUUUCUGCAUUUCUUAAGUGAAGUGGAGGAAUUUAAGAAAUAUGAUUCAUGGAAUGACCAUGCAUCACUCUGUGAAAUGAAAUGAAAUGAAACGAAAUGCAAGUUGUUGAGUCAA